GCCUCAGGCUCAGGCGUCUAGCGGGACGAUACCUGAGGGAAUGCAUUCUUAUGGUGGUUUGAGCAGUGUUGGCUAUCCUGAUGGGUACGCCCGAUUGCCAUCUCAGGCGGCUGGUGGGUCAGCAGUUGAUCCCUAUGGUGGUGGUGCCGGUGCUUCCUAUGGUUCUGCUAGAGGACCUGCAACUUCUGCUCAGCGGUGAAUGCAGGAGUUAUCUCAUGGUCCCGAUCAGCAGUAAAGGCUGGUGGGUCAGCAGUUGA
rnacentral:misc_RNA from 1 species